rnacentral:tRNA from 1 species
GUAGAUAUAGUUUAAACAAAACAUUAGAUUGUGGUUCUAAAGAUAGGAGUUAAAGCCCCCUUAUCCACC